rnacentral:rRNA from 1 species
UCGAACGAAGCACUCUAUUUGAUUUUCUUCGGAAAUGAAGAUUUUGUGACUGAGUGGCGGACGGGUGAGUAACGCGUGGGUAACCUGCCUCAUACAGGGGGAUAACAGUUGGAAACGACUGCUAAUACCGCAUAAGCGCACAGGAUCACAUGAUCCGGUGUGAAAAACUCCGGUGGUAUGAGAUGGACCCGCGUCUGAUUAGCCAGUUGGCAGGGUAACGGCCUACCAAAGCGACGAUCAGUAGCCGACCUGAGAGGGUGACCGGCCACAUUGGGACUGAGACACGGCCCAAACUCCUACGGGAGGCAGCAGUGGGGAAUAUUGCACAAUGGGGGAAACCCUGAUGCAGCGACGCCGAGUGAGCGAAGAAGUAUUUCGGUAUGUAAAGCUCUAUCAGCAGGGAAGAAGAAUGACGGUACCUGACUAAGAAGCACCGGCUAAAUACGUGCCAGCAGCCGCGGUAAUACGUAUGGUGCAAGCGUUAUCCGGAUUUACUGGGUGUAAAGGGAGCGCAGGCGGUGCGGCAAGUCUGAUGUGAAAGCCCGGGGCUCAACCCCGGUACUGCAUUGGAAACUGUCGUACUAGAGUGUCGGAGGGGUAAGUGGAAUUCCUAGUGUAGCGGUGAAAUGCGUAGAUAUUAGGAGGAACACCAGUGGCGAAGGCGGCUUACUGGACGAUAACUGACGCUGAGGCUCGAAAGCGUGGGGAGCAAACAGG